GAUGAAGAACGUAGCGAAAUGCGAUAAGUAAUGCGAAUUGCAGAAUUUCCGUGAGUCAUCGAAUCUUUGAACGCACAUUGCGCCCACUGGUAUUCCGGUGGGCAUGCUGUUCGAGCGUCAUUAUCCUCCCUCAAACCCCGGGUUUGGUGUUGGACCCAAGUUGUGUGAACAACUGGUCUCAAAGACAAUGACGGCGUCCGUGGGACCCUCGGUGCAACGAGCUUUUAGGAGCACGCGCCGAGUUGCAAGGACCUUCCGGGCCGGUCUCCUUUACUAUUUUACAAGGUUGACCUCGGAUCAGGUAGGAAUACCCGCUGAACUUAAGCAUAUCAAUAAGCGGAGGA
rnacentral:misc_RNA from 1 species